GGAGGAGGAGGAAGAGGAGGCGGAAGAAGAGUUGGUGGCCUCCGGUGACACCACGUCCUGACCAGGAACUUGGCAGGUGACAGGGACAGAAGACACCAAGAACAGUAACAAGAAGCAGCAGCAGCAGCAGCCCGGCAGCUUCCCUACCUAGGAGCUUUUUCUUCUUACUCUUGCACAGCAGAGUCCCGCCCCAACUUCUUGGCUGCUUACAGAAACCAGCUCACAACCCAGGAGUAGACAGACAGAAGCCUGUGUCAAGAGUUAAAAGGUACAAGGAAGUCUGUGUAUUUGUGCAGCACAUGGAUGCAGGAGCCCACAGAGGCCAGAAGAGGGAAUCAGAUCCCUUGGAACUGGAGUUACAGGCAGUUAUGAGUCACUAUGAGAGCUGAUCCCAGGCCCUCCACGAUGAACAGAGCUGCAUCCUUCCAGAUCUAUACUUCUCCUCAAGGGACUCCUCCUCCAGGUCUCCAGCUACUAAUGGAGUCCCUAAGGUAACCACCUUUAUUACUUAUACUAGAAGCUUUGGGGUUUGGAAUGUAUACUCAAAUGAGAAUGAAUCCUCUGCUUCUAUGUUCUGCUUUCAAAGGCAGAUGUUGGUUCCACACCGCUGCCCCCCCCCACCCUGCUAUUGAUACCCUGGGAAUUAAAGUGAGACUUUAUUCUUCA